AUGUAGGAGGAGUCACUAAGCCACCACAGAAGUCACGUACAUUUAUGGAUUUAGCACAUCAAACAACUCCGACUGUGUGCAUUGCCAGGGUGRACYUUGCGAUGCUGGUCGAUGGUUCUGGUAGUAUCAAYUACCAG